rnacentral:rRNA from 1 species
UACAGAGGUGGCAAGCGUUGUUCGGAAUUACUGGGCGUAAAGGGCGCGUAGGCGGCCUUCUAAGUCAGACGUGAAAUCCCCGGCUUAACCUGGGAACUGCGUCUGAUACUGGGAGGCUUGAGUAUGGGAGAGGGAUGUAGAAUUCCAGGUGUAGCGGUGAAAUGCGUAGAUAUCUGGAGGAACACCGGUGGCGAAGGCGGUUCUCUGGGCCUGUACUGACGCUGAGGAGCGAAAGCGUGGGGAGCGAACAGG